rnacentral:misc_RNA from 1 species
UAUGAAGAACGUAGCAAAGUGCGAUAUGUACUGCGCUGUGCGCGAAAUGCGCAGUCAUUCUUCGAAUACACAUUGUCCUGUCUGGCGAAUAGCCGGCAGGGCAUCUGCUUCAGGGUUGUUGAUUAGUUUUUGCGCCGCUUUUGCUGGUGCUUCGGGGUUCACCACCACGUGUGUCCCCCCAUAUGUUUGUCCUCGUUGCUCUUGCUUCUUUGGACUUGGGUGUCUAGCAGUCUGGUUCAUUGCUUGCAUUGUUCCGCUUGUUGCUUCCCCUUUUGACUGACCCGACCUGAAGUCAGGUGUGAGUACCCGCUGAACUUAAGCAUAUCAAUAAGCGGAGGA